UGAGGAAUAUUGGACAAUGGGCGCAAGCCUGAUCCAGCCAUGCCGCGUGCAGGAAGACGCAUCUAUGGUGUGUAAACUGCUUUUGUACGGGAAGAAACACCUCUACGUGUAGAGGCUUGACGGUACCGUAAGAAUAAGGAUCGGCUAACUCCGUGCCAGCAGCCGCGGUAAUACGGAGGAUCCAAGCGUUAUCCGGAAUCAUUGGGUUUAAAGGGUCCGUAGGCGGCUAGAUAAGUCAGUGGUGAAAUCCCAUCGCUCAACGAUGGAACGGCCAUUGAUACUGUCUGGCUUGAAUUAUUAGGAAGUAACUAGAAUAUGUAGUGUAGCGGUGAAAUGCUUAGAUAUUACAUGGAAUACCAAUUGCGAAGGCAGGUUACUACUAGUUGAUUGACGCUGAUGGACGAAAGCGUGGGGAGCGAACA
rnacentral:rRNA from 1 species